rnacentral:rRNA from 1 species
ACGGCCAUACCAUGCUGAAUAUACCGGUUCUCGUUAGAUCACCGAAGUCAAGCAUCAUUGGACGUGGUCAGUACUUGGGUGGGUGACCACUUGGGAACACCGCAUGCUGUU